rnacentral:tRNA from 1 species
GCACGGCGAUCCGGAGCGCCUGGAUCGCACCCAGGAGGUCGGCGGUUCGAAUCCGCCUAGCUCCA